GUCUUGGGGAACCGUCAGGAUGGACUGAUGACGGAGGAGCUGCUGGCUGAAAGCAAGGAGGGAGGAAAUGCCUAACAGAUGCUUAGGUUCCCUAAGUUCCGAUUGUCCUUUCCUAUAAAGUACCAGUCAUUCAACAUCUUAUUUGAGGAAAGCUGACCGACUCAAGGAUGAAGUGGGACUCUGUAGAACCCGUCAGACUUCCUUUUCACCAGUGUAACCUAUCUUUGAAGUUCAUCCAUCCUUCCUACAGCCUCCCUUCAUUGUUUCCAGCACAUAGACGGAGCCCAGAGCACCGUCUUCGACUUACCGUACAUCUAAGGAGCUAACCCUUGCACAGCAAUGCACAGACCAUGGCAAGGGCAGAGACUGUUAUUCUGUGGAGAAGAACAGAUAUAUGUAUGAAAUAUCCUUUAUCUAACUACCUGAGAAACGUUGACACUGACACACUUUCAACGCAACCACACAUCUUCCAACUAUCACACAGGUCUACACUAAUAGUAGUACAUUCAGAUGAAAGACUUAUAAAUAAAGUUGUGUAACUACAUGUAUUAACCUAUGUUAACACCAAAAUGUGUUUCACCGUCAGAAUGAGUAUCUUGUUUUGUUUGUGAAAAGAAAAAGAAAAAAACAUUAUAUCGGAUUAAUCUGUAGUGUUUAGGUAAAACAAAGUUAAGGUUUUACUUUAUUCUCUGCUCAUAUGCUACUUUCUUUCCCCGAAAAAUAUAUUUAAAAGUGUUUUAUAGUUAUAAUAGUAUGCAACAGAGACAACUAAAAUUACAAACUGUGUACAGAGAAUAUUUAAUAAAUAGAAAUAUUUAAAAGUGAUCUAUAAGGAUUUUAACUAAACCCAUUAAAACACCCUAUUUACUACCCAACUUUGCACAGUGUUCAGGUUUGAGAGGGGACCUAAUAUUUUGUAGUGUAUCUACACUGUGAUGGUGGCUAUCAGAACUGCCAGCUGCAGGACUCUUAGCUGCUACAUGAGUUUGACUCUGUAUGUAAGUGUGUUCCAGUGAGAGCAUGCACACACAGCAUUGCUGUAAGUGUGUUGUGUGUAAUAGUUUGCCAGCCUCACACAGCUGUCCUCUUGUGAAUCUUAUAUCUGUCUUUGUCUCUAGGUGGGUCUUUCUUUGAUGACCUUGCUCUCUUUGUUUCUUUGGGACGUACAGGGUAACCUGAUGGAGCAACAGGCGUGUCUGACAUCUGAACUCAAGUGAAGAUGAACUUUUAUAGCCUGUCCCAGCCUCACUCAUACACGUUAUUGUGUAAAUAGAUAUUCUGUAGAUAUUGAUAAGUCAGUACAUUAGAGCAACUAAAGAGAUUCCUUUAAGAAUAUGUACACUUAAUAAAGGUUUUCACUGUAA